CGCCCGCGCCGCCGUCGUGCCACCCGUACACCGCGACCAUGUACCAGCCGCCCUACUACCAUCGGAAUCAGUAGCGCACUGCCGACUGCUGCCCUGUUCACUUCCGAAUGUAUUUAGAGAAAAUAAAAAAGUUAAAAUGAGGUUGAAAAUUCUGAAACUUAAAAAGUAAACAUCAGCAAAUUGCAGUGUUUUUAAAAACGAAUCGCAACUUCUAUGUUUAAAAAUAAACAACAACUUCAUACCGGCCUGUUAAAUGUAGAAUAAUCCCAAUUUUUUUUAAUGUGCAAUAAUCAUGUUUAUUCAUAAUAAUAAUAAUAUCAAUCGAGAACACGGCCAAUAAAACGGUAAAUAAUUAAAUUGUACGAUAAAUCUUGUGAUAACUGAUUAGUAUACAGGGUCUGGGCUAAGGGACACAAAAAAGUAUCGAUACUUUGUCAUAUACCAAUACUUUUGUACUCGAAACUUGGCAUUUGAUACUUUUACUUAAUGAGUACUUUUUGACAGGUAUGGUAUCAAAAGUUUUAAAUGAGUACUAUUACCUUUUUUUUUGUUCCGGUUGACUGAAAAUUUACCAUAAUUUGAAGCGACAUUUUUUUUAUCGUCAACUGAAAUUUGAAGACAGCUUUUCGGUAUUUAAACAAUAAUUUGAACCGACGACCUUUUUUUUGGAACUCGAAGAUCAUUACGUUUAGUUAUCGAGUACUUUUGUGUUUGUAAUCGAUACCUAGAAGUAUCGAUACUUUUAUGAGUACGAUACUUUUAUUUCGAUACUACUCAUGAGUACAGUAUCGAUACUUUGUAUCGAUACCGUGUCCCUAGUCUGGGCCUAUAGAGCACCAACGUGUUUCAACUGAGAUCAGGAACGACUAAUUUAUUCGGAGGAAAAAUGCAAUGUAAAAGUUUGUUACGUGAUGACGCUAGUAGUAUCUGUAUUUUUAUAUUUAUAACAUUCAUUACUAUAAGGUAGUGAUUGUUGGUUUAACGUAUAACAAGCUGAAGUUCUUGUUAUUAUUCUUAACAAUUGUAAUAAAAAGAUGGUGCUAUCACCUCUGUAACUUUAAACCAAAUUUUUAUUUCAAAUUUAAAGCGCCAUAUUCAUAAGAACACAAAAACCUCGCCAUUUUAAAAUAAAAAUGCUCCAGCAGUGCCUUAAAAUUGCUUUUAACAACAAAAAAGUUUUGCUCAAACGACCACAUCUUUAUCUUCUUCAGUCCUUCCUUCUCACUUCUCGUUGUUUGUUAUUCUUUCCCAAAUUUUCUCUACUUUCUCUUAUUAUCGCUCAUUUCUCUUCUGCUUCAAAAUAAAAUAUUUUUAAAACUGAACGACAAAAAUUUAACUUUACAAACGAAAUAUAUUUUUGUAGUUUAUACGUCGUCUUCAUUGACUUAUCAAUAAGAUAUUGUUUCCGUUUAAAAACUCAACUGAUUUGUUGUUAUAUACAAUAGUUUCCUGAAACAGUUUUAAGAUAAUUUAGCUGGGGCCUUUGCUUAUUUUUAUCGUGAAACAUUAUUAUCACUGAUUGUUUUGAAAAAUGUAACUUUUUAUUGAUUGACUGAGAUAAUUAAAUAUUUGAAGUUGGACAUGGCAAUUAGUCAUAUUUUAGAAAUAAUUUGAAAAUAAAUUAUUUAAGACAAAGAAAA
rnacentral:misc_RNA from 1 species